rnacentral:rRNA from 1 species
GAUUAACGCUGGCGGCGUGCAUAACACAUUCAAGUCGAACGGAGUAGAGUGCUUCGGUACUUUACUUAGUGGCGGACGGGUGAGUAACGCGUGAGCAAUCUGCCUCUCGGCACGGGAUAACAACCGGAAACAGUUGCUAAUACCGUAUAAAAUGGCAGUACCGCAUGGUACAACCAUCCAAGAUUUAUUGCCGAGAGAUGAGCUUGCGUCUGAUUAGGUAGUUGGUGAGGUAACGGCCCACCAAGCCGACGAUCAGUAGCCGGACUGAGAGGUUGGACGGCCACAUUGGAACUGAGAUACGGUCCAGACUCCUACGGGAGGCAGCAGUGGGGAAUAUUGGGCAAUGGGCGAAAGCCUGACCCAGCGACGCCGCGUGAGGGAAGAAGAUCUUCGGAUUGUAAACCUUAGUCAACAGGGAAGAAGAAAGUGACGGUACCUGUGGAGGAAGCCACGGCUAACUACGUGCCAGCCGCCGCUGUAACAC